UACGAAGGGGGCUAGCGUUGCUCGGAAUCACUGGGCGUAAAGGGUGCGUAGGCGGGUCUUUUAAGUCAGGGGUGAAAUCCUGGAGCUCAACUCCAGAACUGCCUUUGAUACUGAGGAUCUUGAGUUCGGGAGAGGUGAGUGGAACUGCGAGUGUAGAGGUGAAAUUCGUAGAUAUUCGCAAGAACACCAGUGGCGAAGGCGGCUCACUGGCCCGAUACUGACGCUGAGGCACGAAAGCGCUGGGGAGCAAACAGGG
rnacentral:rRNA from 1 species